rnacentral:rRNA from 1 species
AGAGUUUGAUCAUGGCUCAGAACUAACGCUGGCGGUGUGCUUAACACAUGCAAGUCGUACGAGAAAGUCCGCUUCGGUGGAUGAGUAAAGUGGCGCACGGGUGAGUAACGCGUGGAUAAUCUGCCCUUGAGUUAGGGAUAACCCACCGAAAGGUGGAUUAAUACCCAAUAAUACUUGUUUACUUUGGUAGAUCAGUCAAAGGUGGCCUCUGCUUGCAAGCUACCGCUUAAGGAUGAAUCCGCGUACCAUUAGCUUGUUGGUGGGGUAACGGCCUACCAAGGCGAUGAUGGUUAGCUGGUCUGAGAGGAUGAUCAGCCACACUGGAACUGAGAUACGGUCCAGACUCCUACGGGAGGCAGCAGUGAGGAAUUUUGCGCAAUGGGGGAAACCCUGACGCAGCGACACCGCGUGAGUGAGGAAGGCUUUCGAGUCGUAAAGCUCUGUCAGGCGGGAAGAAAUGUAUGAUGGCCAAUACCCAUCAUACUUGACGGUACCGCCAGAGGAAGCACCGGCCAACUCCGUGCCAGCAGCCGCGGUAAUACGGGGGGUGCAAGCGUUGUUCGGAAUUAUUGGGCGUAAAGCGCGUGUAGGCGGCUGAGUAAGUCAGAUGUGAAAGCCCCAGGCUCAACCUGGGAAGUGCAUUUGAAACUGCUUAGCUCGAGUGAGAGAGGGGAAAGUGGAAUUCCUGGUGUAGAGGUGAAAUUCGUAGAUAUCACGAGGAACACCCGUGGCGAAAGCGGCUUUCUGGCUCUUUACUGACGCUGAGACGCGAAAGCGUGGGUAGCAACAGGAUUAGAUACCCUGGUAGUCCACGCGUAACGA